rnacentral:lncRNA from 1 species
UUUUUCUUUCACAAAAACAAAAGAAAAUUAAUUAAUUUUUCCUUUUUUUCUUCCACGGGGCCUUGACCUAGUUUCCCAAAAUUGGGAACCCAAGUUCAGUUCAUUUCUACUCCACGGGAAUUGCUUCAAGAGAUACGUAUGAGGGGGGAAUCGGCCCCCAAAAUUGAGAACCAAACUUCAAUUCAGUUCAGAUAGACGUCUUCCGUUCUCGGAUUGCUUUAAGUCUUACCAAAGAAACAGCCAAGCCAAAAACUCCAAAUUACCCAAGUCCUGCAUCAAGUAUGGCCCUGAAGGUAAUCUUUUUUUCCCCCUUCUUUUUUUUUCUAUCCAAUUCUGUGGUAAGUGUUUUCGGAGCAAUGGAUGAAUUGGGACUUGGGUUUCAAGGUACCGUUGUGGAGGAGAAGAAGAAGAAGAGGUCCAUAUGAUAUUAUGACUACUAUCCCAGGAGAGCAUGGUCGGACCAUGAAUUAACGGAGGAUGAUGUUCCUCUCUUCAUGAUCAUGCGACGUAUCGUCAUAGAUCUGGUAUUCGUAAUCGUGCUAAUUAUGUGUCAUAUAACAGAGACUUAAAUUGAAGAAAGUUAGCUGAAGGCGUGUUUCCAUGGAGGAAGUUGUGAAAAGUGGUGAAGAGGCGCAGCAGAAGGUGUGGAAUCAGAAUCAUGCCUUUACUAAAAAUCAACUCAAGAAAUGCGAGUUCAGCAGCAAGUGGUCCUGCAACUGAAUUUGGCACAAGAAGGCCACGUGUCCAAGUUGGAUUGGUAGUGCUGAGGAGUUAGUUAUUAGUCCCAUUUUAUGUAGGAAAGAUUUGGGUGAUGGCAUGGGAGAAUGCUUUUGUAAUCGAACAGAUUGGGACCAUUCUCAAUUUCUUUUCCCUUUCCCCAAGUUUCCUUCUCUUUUCUUGUUCAUCUUUUGUAUCUCUUCCCGCCAUAUCUUGUAAACUCAUUAGCCAUUAUCAAUAUAUCAACAUUGAGCUGGUUUCUGAUUAUUUCUCAUUUUUGUUAAAUUCUAAGAAAGAAUCUAUGUUAUUCUUGCUGUCGGUUUACUCCCAUAUCCAUAGUCUUGCUCGAUACCAUCACAGUGGUAUCA